rnacentral:rRNA from 1 species
UACGGAGGGUGCAAGCGUUAUCCGGAUUCACUGGGUUUAAAGGGUGCGUAGGUGGGCAGGUAAGUCAGUGGUGAAAUCUCUGGCUUAACUCAGAAACUGCCAUUGAUACUAUCUGUCUUGAAUACCGUGGAGGUCAGCGGAAUAUGUCAUGUAGCGGUGAAAUGCUUAGAUAUGACAUAGAACACCAAUUGCGAAGGCAGCUGGCUACACGAAUAUUGACACUGAUGCACGAAAGCGUGGGGAUCAAACAGGA